rnacentral:tRNA from 1 species
GCCGGGGUGGCCGGAAAAGUGGAGUGUUUUCCGGCCUUUCCCUGUAGUCGGUUAAGCGGCGUCGGCCUUAAAAUCCCUGGCCCUUCGGGGCGUGAGGGUUCGACCCCCUCCCCCGGCA